AGUGAACGCUGGCGGUAGGCCUAACACAUGCAAGUCGAACGGCAGCACAGUAAGAGCUUGCUCUUACGGGUGGCGAGUGGCGGACGGGUGAGGAAUACAUCGGAAUCUACUUUUUCGUGGGGGUUAACGUAGGGAAACUUACGCUAAUACCGCAUACGACCUACGGGUGAAAGCAGGGGAUCUUCGGACCUUGCGCGAUUGAAUGAGCCGAUGUCGGAUUAGCUAGUUGGCGGGGUAAAGGCCCACCAAGGCGACGAUACGUAGCUGGUCUGAGAGACGGAUAAGCCACACUGGAGCGUGGCCACGGUCAAGACUACUGAGGGAGGGAGCAGUGGGGAAUAUGGGACAGUGGGCGGGAGCCUGAUACAGCCAUCCCGCGUGGGUGAAGAAGGCCUUCCGGUUGUAAAGCCCGUUUGUUGGGAAAGAAAAGCAGCCGGUUAUUACCACGCUGUUCUGACGGUACCCAAAGAAUAAGCACCGGCUAACUUCGUG
rnacentral:rRNA from 1 species